AAGAAACCUUGUCUGAGGGACCUCUUCCUGAAAGUCAAAAAGAACCUUGGAAUUCAGUUCUUAACACACACUCUAGAGUUCAUGCUAUGGUUAUCAGGAUAAAUCUAUGGAAAAUAAAGCUGAACAGAAACUGCAGAUCAUUAACUAGCUUAACCUUGUCAAAUGGGGAUAAAACCGGAAGUGCCAUGUGACUUUGACUGACAGAAAUGAAAACUGAUGAUGAAACACACUGAAGAGAAGAUAGUAAAAGAAUUCAUAAGGCAGUCGUUCGACCGAGAGUUCGACCAGGAGACUGGGAGUUUGACUAGGUGACUGGGAG